rnacentral:rRNA from 1 species
UACGUAGGGGGCUAGCGUUAUCCGGAAUUACUGGGCGUAAAGGGUGCGUAGGUGGUUUUUUAAGUCAGAAGUGAAAGGCUACGGCUCAACCGUAGUAAGCUUUUGAAACUAGAGAAUUUGAGUGUAGGAGAGGAGAGUAGAAUUCCUAGUGUAGCGGUGAAAUGCGUAGAUAUUAGGAGGAAUACCAGUAGCGAAGGCGGCUCUCUGGACUGUAACUGACACUGAGGCACGAAAGCGUGGGGAGCAAACA